UGGGGAAUAUUGGACAAUGGGCGAAAGCCUGAUCCAGCCAUGCCGCGUGUGUGAAGAAGGUCUUCGGAUUGUAAAGCACUUUAAGUUGGGAGGAAGGGCAUUAACCUAAUACGUUAGUGUUUUGACGUUACCGACAGAAUAAGCACCGGCUAACUCUGUGCCAGCAGCCGCGGUAAUACAGAGGGUGCAAGCGUUAAUCGGAAUUACUGGGCGUAAAGCGCGCGUAGGUGGUUUGGUAAGUUGGAUGUGAAAUCCCCGGGCUCAACCUGGGAACUGCAUUCAAAACUGACUGACUAGAGUAUGGUAGAGGGUGGUGGAAUUUCCUGUGUAGCGGUGAAAUGCGUAGAUAUAGGAAGGAACACCAGUGGCGAAGGCGACCACCUGGACUAAUACUGACACUGAGGUGCGUAAGCGUGGGGAGCAAACA
rnacentral:rRNA from 1 species